rnacentral:lncRNA from 1 species
GGUGAUAUGAGAACUAGACAAGGACCCAAGUUCCAUUUUGGGUCGGAAACCAUAGAAAACUCAAAAGAUCGCCACUCUUCUUGUGAGGAAGCAAAAAGGGAGAAUGUUACACUAUGUUACCCAAAGAAAGGAUCAAAAUUGCACUAAAACACAACACAAAGAAAGCAAAUUUUAAUCAGUUGAACGACAAGAUAAUCGAUAAAAAACUAAAGAAAGUUUAAACGGUAAAGCAUAAAAAAAACCAUGCACUUGGGAUGCAAGAGAGAAAAAGGAGAGGACGAAGACAAUGACGUUAUGAGAAACCACAAUGCAAUGCCGCAAGAGAUAAAAAAGUAGAGGUGCGCAAGCGAGUAAAAGAAGAGGAGAAGCAGAGAAAAAGGAGAAGCGAUGAAGACACGAUCAGAAACUAAAAUGGAUAAGAGUCUGCGGUCUAUUUAAAAUUAAAUGGGGCGUCGGUUGCUCCAGAAACCGACGUCUAUAGACGUCGGUGUUUCAAGGGAUUCGACGUCUAUUCUACAUCAAAGAAGCUGAAAAGAUUGACGUUUGAUUUCCUGUCAAGGUAGUUCACGUCGGUGCCCCUCCUACCCGACGUCUAAAUUGAAGAAUUUUUGUCUUCCCGCCUUCCAGACAGGCCUUAGACGUCGUCGUUUGACUAUUUGACGUCUAAGCGCCUGGGAAUUAGGUGAACA